UACGUAGGGGGCUAGCGUUGUCCGGAAUCAUUGGGCGUAAAGCGCGUGUAGGCGGCCCGGUAGGUCCGCUGUGAAAGUCGGGGGCUCAACCCUCGGAUGCCGGUGGAUACUGUCGGGCUCGAGUACGGAAGAGGCGAGUGGAAUUCCUAGUGUAGAGGUGAAAUUCGUAGAUAUUAGGAAGAACACCAGUGGCGAAGGCGGCUCACUGGCCCGGUACUGACGCUGAGGCGCGAAAGCGUGGGGAGGCAAACAGG
rnacentral:rRNA from 1 species